CCUACGGGAGGCAGCAGUGAGGAAUAUUGGUCAAUGGGCGCGAGCCUGAACCAGCCAAGUCGCGUGAGGGAAGACGGUCCUAUGGAUUGUAAACCUCUUUUGUCGGGGAGCAAAAGACGCCACGCGUGGCGUUCCGAGAGUACCCGAAGAAAAAGCAUCGGCUAACUCCGUGCCAGCAGCCGCGGUAAUACGGAGGAUGCGAGCGUUAUCCGGAUUUAUUGGGUUUAAAGGGUGCGCAGGCGGAAGAUCAAGUCAGCGGUAAAAUUGAGGGGCUCAACCUCUUCGAGCCGUUGAAACUGGUGUUCUUGAGUGGGCGAGAGGGAUGCGGAAUGCGUGGUGUAGCGGUGAAAUGCAUAGAUAUCACGCAGAACUCCGAUUGCGAAGGCAGCAUACCGGCGCUCAACUGACGCUCAUGCACGAAAGUGUGGGUAUCGAACAGGAUUAGAUACCCGUGUAGUC
rnacentral:rRNA from 1 species